UUCUUACAAUCUCCUUAUGAGAUCAGCUUCCCCUUCUUCUUUCACUACUUGGGCGUUGUUAUUUCUGUAAGUUCGUUCUCCAUUUUUGAAGUUCUUAGCUUCUUCCAAUUGCCAAUUUGUGAAUGAUUUUCUUUGGGAUUACCUACUUGUAUUAUGGAUCAUGAAACACUGCCCGGAAAUUUCCGUUCCAUCAAAAUUGGGCUCUGAUUACGCGGGCUAGUUAGGGUUUGGGAUGAAUUAUUGAGAGAAGUAUUCAACGGCCGCAUUGCGGUGGUCGUUUUCAAAUUCCAUACUUUCUUGCGUUGCGGAUAUUGGACAUUGCGUAAUGCCCACCAACUGUUCGAUGAAAUUCCUCUAUGAAAUGCUCAAGGAUCAACUGUUUCGUUGGAUUAUUAUGGAUUUGUUUCGAUAACAUGGCCUUCUCGAGGAUCAACUGUUUCAUUGGAUCAUUAUGGAUUCGUUCGAUAACAUGACCUUGAUCAACUGUUUCGUUGGAUCAUUAUGGAUUCGUUUCAAUAACAUGACCUUGUGAGUACUAUGAAUUUAAAUUUCCCUUCUACUCAACGGAGUUCAUCCUUUUUCCUAGUCUAGUAUUUUACAGGAAACCGAGUUAUUUCUUAUCUUGGAUAUGCUUUUACAUUUGUAAAAGCAUAUCCAAGUUGCAUUCCUUGCAUUUGUGUUCAAUGAAUAUGAUCGUUUUCCAUCUUAUGCAUCAAAUUGUAUAAUCAAACUCGCAGGGCUUGUUAUGCCACUAAGAGCUUAUUAGAAUAGUAGAGUUGUUGACUUAAGUAUACCUUAGUAGUUAGGUAUUUAAUAUCUCCCCUAGUUCCUAUGAAUUUUAGUUUUGAAUCCUUCCUCUUUUGUAACGUAACAUUGUGAAAGAAAAGUUGGGUAUUUUUUUCGACUACUUCGGUGCCACGAGAGGGAAUAAUUAUUUGGAAAGUUAGAACAACGUAGCCGAAGAUUUUAUACCGUUGGAUGUUAGAGAGAGAAACAAAAAACUAUCGGAUAAUUAUGCAUCAAAGGUUUAGAAACACAUUGUUUUUGUUUUUUGGAGCAUUAAUUUUGGACCCAUUUGGUAACGUUUUUGUUUUUGUUUCUUGUUUUCUAUCGCUCGUCACUCUUUUUUAAUAAAAGAAAUGAAUAUCCAAAAUUUUAGUGUUAUAUUUAUUAUGCAUUUUAGAAGUAAUAAAAUGAUAAAAUAAUACUUUUAUUUAUAUUUUGAAAGAAAAAAAAAAAAAAAACUAGAUUUUUUAGUUGUUUUAAGAUUUUCACGCAUCGAGUGAGAGACUAGAAACAAGAACAGGUAUCAGUUUUUCAAAAACACACGAAGACUUCUAUGUGUAAUGUUUUGAUGCAUUUGUUUCCCUUUGAUUCUAUUCAUUACAUUUUUCAAAAACACACGAAGACUUCUAUGUGUAAUGUUUUGAUGCAUUUGUUUCCCUUUGAUUCUAUUCAUUACAUUAACAUUCCUCGGCCCCUCGAAAUCUCUUAAUCAUUAAAUCAAGUUUUACUCUCAUCAUUGGUUGGAAGAAAACGGUUUCUAAAGAUCUCGUGAACAUUAGAUUUACCAUUCCUUUAUAAGAUUCUACAUCAUUUGAACUUUAUAUAUCAGUUUUACGUGUUAUGGUUAGUAUCAAAAGUACUUCACACGAACAUCAAA